GUGGUUUUUACCAUCAGAUACCCGAUUCACCUGAUUCUCCUGACGCCCAGCAUGCUGAGGACUUUUUAGAGGCUUUAAUAGCAGAAGAACAGAUACCCGAUUCACCCGAUUCUCCAGGAGCCCAGCACGAUGAGGACUUUUUUGAGGCUUUAUUAGAAGAAGAAGAAGAACAGCAGUCAUCUGACCCUUGGGAAUUCCCAUCACGCGGUAGCUGCAGACGCAGAACUCCUCCUCCUUCGAGUUCUUCAGAUUCGGUUAGUGGAAUUUUUGUGUGUGUGUGUGUGUGUGUGUGUGUGUG